CGACCUUGACCGCUUGAAGAAUGUUACCAUACCCCUCAACCCCCCCUUCUUCCCACAUUCAUACCAUCCGAGAUGGCGUUGAUUAGGCUUCUUUCUGAUGGGUAUUGAUGUCUAUAUUGUUCAACGUAAGCCUCAAUUCUGCUGAGAAAGUAAGCCAGGUGGUGUGGAUUCCCAUCAAAGAUGUGAACACCAUCCGACCUUGACUGCUUGAAGAAUGUUACCAUACCCCUCAACCCCCCUUCUUCCCCUCAGGGGAAAAAUGUGGCAGCAUCUGGAACCCUAAAGUCUAGUAUGGUUUCCAGGCCUGACAAAGUCCUUGGGAGAUUUAAAAGAACACAAGCAUCCAGCACCACCCACUCACACUUGCUGUUUAACAUCAAGAAGAGAAGGAUUAUUGAUAUUAGUAAAAAUAGGUUAAUUAUGAGCAUGUUUUUUUUACUUAGUCCAGAUCUAUAAAUCUACAGAUCUUAUAUUGCUCAGCUGUCUGAUAUAUGUUGAGAUGAUCUCAAGCUGAUUACCUCACAUUUCAGGGAGCUCUGAGCUGGAGAAGCUUCUUAGAUGAGAAGCGAAACGUCUUCAAAGAAAAACCAGAAAGUCCAUUUGCCUCUUGAAAAAAACACCUUUGGGACAACCAUGACCUGGAUGAUUGAGAAUUUCCGUAGACAUAAUAAAAAAAGGCAACAAGUAACAGAUAACAAAGGCUAACUACUUAAUUUCAAUUUUGAUUUAGUCUUCACUGAUAUAAAGGUAUGUAUCAGGCAGCUAUGAA